rnacentral:rRNA from 1 species
AAGUCGUAACAAGGUCUCCGUAGGUGAACCUGCGGAGGGAUCAUUACCGAGAGAGGGCGCCCCGCGCGCCCGACCUCCCAACCCUCUGUCGACCGUACCGCGUUGCCUCGGGGCCGCCCUCGCGGGCGCCCCAGAGGACACCAAUCGAAAACUCUGCAUCUCAUGCGUCGGAGUCAUUAUGUGAAUCAAUCAAAACUUUCAACAACGGAUCUCUUGGUUCUGGCAUCGAUGAAGAACGCAGCGAAAUGCGAUAAGUAAUGUGAAUUGCAGAAUUCAGUGAAUCAUCGAAUCUUUGAACGCACAUUGCGCCCCUGGCAUUCCGGGGGCAUGCCUGUUCGAGCGUCAUUACACCACUCAAGCCUGGCUUGGCGUUGGGCGACGGGGCCCCGGCCCGCGCCUCAAAUUCACCGGCUGGACCGGACCGUACCUCAGCGUUGUGGCACACAAGCUCGCUGCGGGGCGGCCGGCGCGCCGUCAAAACACCCCACUCAAGGUUGACCUCGGAUCAGGUAGGGAUACCCGCUGAACUUAA